rnacentral:rRNA from 1 species
CAGGCUUAACACAUGCAAGUCGAGGGGCAUCAGGAAUAAAGCUUGCUUUCUUUGCUGGCGACCGGCGCACGGGUGAGUAACACGUAUCCAACCUGCCCUUUACUCGGGGAUAGCCUUUCGAAAGAAAGAUUAAUACCCGAUAGCAUAAUGAUUCCGCAUGGUUUCAUUAUUAAAGGAUUCCGGUAAAGGAUGGGGAUGCGUUCCAUUAGGUUGUUGGUGAGGUAACGGCCCACCAAGCCUUCGAUGGAUAGGGGUUCUGAGAGGAAGGUCCCCCACAUUGGAACUGAGACACGGUCCAAACUCCUACGGGAGGCAGCAGUGAGGAAUAUUGGUCAAUGGGCGCUAGCCUGAACCAGCCAAGUAGCGUGAAGGAUGAAGGCUCUAUGGGUCGUAAACUUCUUUUAUAUAAGAAUAAAGUGCAGUAUGUAUACUGUUUUGUAUGUAUUAUAUGAAUAAGGAUCGGCUAACUCCGUGCCAGCAGCCGCGGUAAUACGGAGGAUCCGAGCGUUAUCCGGAUUUAUUGGGUUUAAAGGGAGCGUAGGUGGACUGGUAAGUCAGUUGUGAAAGUUUGCGGCUCAACCGUAAAAUUGCAGUUGAUACUGUCAGUCUUGAGUACAGUAGAGGUGGGCGGAAUUCGUGGUGUAGCGGUGAAAUGCUUAGAUAUCACGAAGAACUCCGAUUGCGAAGGCAGCUCACUGGACUGCAACUGACACUGAUGCUCGAAAGUGUGGGUAUCAAACAGGAUUAGAUACCCUGGUAGUCCACACAGUAAACGAUGAAUACUCGCUGUUUGCGAUAUACAGUAAGCGGCCAAGCGAAAGCAUUAAGUAUUCCACCUGGGGAGUACGCCGGCAACGGUGAAACUCAAAGGAAUUGACGGGGGCCCGCACAAGCGGAGGAACAUGUGGUUUAAUUCGAUGAUACGCGAGGAACCUUACCCGGGCUUAAAUUGCAGUGGAAUGAUGUGGAAACAUGUCAGUGAGCAAUCACCGCUGUGAAGGUGCUGCAUGGUUGUCGUCAGCUCGUGCCGUGAGGUGUCGGCUUAAGUGCCAUAACGAGCGCAACCCUUAUCUUUAGUUACUAACAGGUUAUGCUGAGGACUCUGGAGAGACUGCCGUCGUAAGAUGUGAGGAAGGUGGGGAUGACGUCAAAUCAGCACGGCCCUUACGUCCGGGGCUACACACGUGUUACAAUGGGGGGUACAGAAGGCAGCUAGCGGGUGACCGUAUGCUAAUCCCAAAAGCCUCUCUCAGUUCGGAUCGAAGUCUGCAACCCGACUUCGUGAAGCUGGAUUCGCUAGUAAUCGCGCAUCAGCCACGGCGCGGUGAAUACGUUCCCGGGCCUUGUACACACCGCCCGUCAAGCCAUGGGAGCCGGGGGUACCUGAAGUACGUAACCGCAAGGAUCGUCCUAGGGUAAAACUGGUGACUGG